rnacentral:rRNA from 1 species
UAGGGAAUCUUCGGCAAUGGGGGGAACCCUGACCGAGCAACGCCGCGUGAGUGAAGAAGGUUUUCGGAUCGUAAAGCUCUGUUGUUAAGGAAGAACGAGUGUGAGAAUGGAAAGUUCAUACUGUGACGGUACUUAACCAGAAAGGGACGGCUAACUACGUGCCAGCAGCCGCGGUAAUACGUAGGUCCCGAGCGUUGUCCGGAUUUAUUGGGCGUAAAGCGAGCGCAGGCGGUUAGAUAAGUCUGAAGUUAAAGGCAGUGGCUCAACCAUUGUAGGCUUUGGAAACUGUUUAACUGGAGUGCAGAAGGGGAGAGUGGAAUUCCAUGUGUAGCGGUGAAAUGCGUAGAUAUAUGGAGGAACACCGGUGGCGAAAGCGGCUCUCUGGUCUGUAACUGACGCUGAGGCUCGAAAGCGUGGGGAGCGAACAGG